rnacentral:lncRNA from 1 species
AAUUCGACAUUGUUUGAGGUGUUUUGAAGGUUGGUAUAAGUUUGAAUAGUAGUAUAUGACUUAUUUGUACUUUUGGUUGAGGUCUCGAGGGCCGGGGGUGAUUUCGUAUGGUUGACGGGAAGAUUUGAGUUGGGUUUUGGCAGCUAAAGAUUUUCCCAUUAUUGUCAUAACCGCACUUGCGGUUAGGGGACCGCAUGUGGUCUCAUAGAAGCGAAACUGGAGUCACAGAUGCAGCCAAGGAGAGUAUCAGCUGGAACUGCAGAAGAGGUUGAGGAAGCGCACAUGUGAUAGUGCAGGUGCGGGAUUUGCAUUGCAAAUACAACUCUUGGGUUUUAAGUGAUGACUGCAGAUGUGGUGUCUUGGACCGUAAAAGCGGCAGUGGGACCGCAGGUGCGAUACUCCUAGGUCAGAAGGUAUAAAAACUUUCCUUCGCGAUUUUGAGUUAUUCUUCACCAUUUUCAUACAGGUUUGAGCUUGAGGGAGCUAUUUAAAGAGGGAUUUCAUAGAGGUAAGGUUUUUGGACCCUAAAAUCGUUUCUUUGGUGUUAUUUCACUGAUUUGACUUGAACGUUUAAUGGAAAUUAAGGGUUAAAAUUGGGAAACUAGGGCUUGAUGUUGGAGAUCAUUGAGCAAGGGUUUGAGGGGUCAUUUGUGGUCAGAUUUUGGUACUUUUGAUGUGUAUGAACUUGUGGGGAGAUAAGGAGUCUAUUGAUGUAAAUUUUAUCGAACUUCGAGAUGUGGGCUCGGGGGUUGGGCUUGGUUAAUUUCAGAAUUUGCAUUGUAUUUUGAUUACUUUCGAAUGGGUUUUUCUCCCUUAGCAUAUUUUGAUGGUUAUGUACUAAUUUUGGUUAGAUUUGGAGCAUCCAGAGGCCUAUUCGAGAGGCAAAGCAUCGCGGGAUAGAAUUUGGACCUGAUAGAGGUAACUAAUGAUUGUAAAUGUUUUCCUGAGGGUAUGAAACCUCGAAUUUCACAUCAUUGUGCUACUUUGAGGUGACGUACACUAGAUUAUGAGAGUGGGGUCAUGCACCAUUGGGCAGUAUGACAUAGUCCAUCCCGUAUGACUGUUAAGUCGCGUAUUUACUAGAAAACUAUUUGAUAUCAUUGUUUGGAAAGUAUUAGCAUGUCUUGAGCUGAAUGCCAUAUUUGGGCAUCGUGCCAACUAUUUUUGGAACCUUAAGGGAUUUUUACUACUAUUCCACACUAUUUUGAAUUGAUAUUUGUACUUAGUCAUGUUGUAUUCUACUGUUUUUAUAACUCAGCCAUAAUUACUCUGUUUUGACAGCUUAAAUGAUGUUCCAGGCUGAGCAUCAUAUUUUACUGUGCCCGAGUAACUUUUAGAGAUUUCUGACUGAGUAGGACUGAGGGCCUGUGUUGUGAGGAUGCUUAUGAUUAUGAGGUCGAGGGCCUGAUUUGUACGCAACAUGGUGGAUUGAUAUGAGGCCGAGAGCCUGUUGAUUUUGCUACAAGAUGGCUUGAUAUUGUGCAUGGGCUAUAAAGGGCCUCUCUCGAAGUCUGUAUACGCCCAAUGAGCGCCUGUACCCAAUGUUAGUGAUAAGAUGUAGCCCGAUGGGCUGUUAUUGUUUCAUAUUGUUGCCCGAAGGGCUGUUCUUGAUCCAUGUUUUUCCCUUCUUAAUUUAUGUUAUACCCGAUGGGCUAAUUACAAGUGAUUGUGAGGUAGCCCAAGGGGCUGACUUUGUUGAUAUUAUGCUCGAGGCGCAGUUUAUGGUACAUUUUUUCCCCGAGGGGCUGUUUAUGUUUAUAUUAUUUUUACUCACUAUUUCAUCACUCGUUUAAAACUAUUGAAAGUUAUUUUAAAAGGUUUUACCGAAACUGAGCAUGAUUUACGAACCAAAUGAUUUCUGUAUUGUUUUGGAAAUGUACUACAUUUGUUGCAGUGUAUUGGCGUGGCUUACGUGUUUUCUUACUGCUCAACUUUCAUUUACUUUUAUUAUUUACUGAGUUGGCAUACUCACAUUACUCUCUUCACCUUAUUUUCAGAUUCAGGUAGUUCUGAACGGGGUAGCAGGUGUUGAUUGCUCAGUGGCAGAGUCAUUGAAGUUAGUAAGGUAGUUGUCCGACGUUCGCAGCACUGCUUUUCUCCCUCUUAUCUUCCUUAGACAUUAAUUAGUACUUUUUUGGACUCUUGGUUGUAUUCAGACCUUAGUAGAUGCUCGUGAAUUGUUAGCAUCACGGGCUUGUGUACUUAUUGAUAUGAUGUUCUCAUGGUUAUCCUAGGAUAGUAUGGUUUGUGGUAUGCUGUGUAGGUGUGAUAUUUGCAUGUGUAAGGUCACGAUUCAGUUCUAAAAAGGUCAUAAAAUUCUUAGGCAGUACGAGUAGCCUCAAAUGACUAGGGAAAUGAUAUUACCAGUUGGUGUAGCUUAAUGAGGGUAUGUACUGUUGAUACCCAAUUUUUCCCUAUGUAUUUUUAUAUGCAUAAAU